ACUCAAAGGAAUAGACGGGGGCCCGCACAAGCAGCGGAGCGUGUGGUUUAAUUCGAUGCAACGCGAAGAACCUUACCAAGACUUGACAUGCAAGAAGUAGGAACUUGAAAGAGGGACCACCUGUAUCCAAUCAGGAAUUUGCACAGGUGCUGCAUGGCUGUCGUCAGCUCGUGCCGUGAGGUGUUAGGUUAAGUCCUGCAACGAGCGCAACCCUCGUCGCUAGUUAAUUUCUCUAGCGAUACUGCCCGUAAAACGUGGAGGAAGGUGGGGAUGACGUCAAGUCAGCAUGGCCUUUAUGUCUUGGGCUACACACACGCUACAAUGGAUGGUACAAAGGGUUGCCAAAGAGCGAUCUGGAGCUAAUCCCAAAAAACCAUCCUCAGUUCAGAUUGCAGGCUGCAAUGCCUGCAUGAAGUUGGAGUUGCUAGUAACCGCAGGUCAGCACACUGCGGUGAAUACGUUCUCGGGCCUUGUACACACCGCCCGU
rnacentral:rRNA from 1 species